AUGUAAGGUCAUGGCAGACUGAAUUAGCUAUCCAUUCUGUAAUCACCAUUCAUAAAACCACCUAACUCAAGCUUAUUUUAGACCAUGGUGGCAUAGCACAACCCACCAUGCAUGCCCCUGGGUCAUUGUGGUGGGUGAGUGAUCUUGAGGUGGGCAUUUUGUCAUGGGUGGUGAUGUAAGGCCAUGGCAGACUGAAUUAGCUAUCCAUUCUGUAAUCACUUGUCAAAUUCUCUAUAGUAGACAGCAAGCAACUCUCGGGUAGAUGUCACGCUUCACGAGACUUAAUUUUGUAACAAACCACCCCCAAAAAAAUGGAGUUUGUGUAAAAGGAAAUAGUUUUAAUGGCUUUAUGGUCAUGAGAGGAGCAGGUACUCUGAUGUACAUUCCAUGCUCUAUUCUUAGUCUCAAAAUGCAGUGGAAUGUUGAUGUUUCUCGGCCAAUUCUCAAUUUUCCCAUCGCUGAAGCCCACGAGUUGACCACCACAGGCUCAAGAGUUGGUAACCAAAAUGAGCACUGAGGCAAUGCGCAGCUAAACCAUAUACCCCCAACUUAACUAUUUAUGCUCUUUGUUUCAUACCUGAUUAUGUGUUACGAAAAUAAAAAUGAAAAUUGUACU